rnacentral:rRNA from 1 species
UACGUAGGGUGCGAGCGUUGUCCGGAAUUAUUGGGCGUAAAGGGCUCGUAGGCGGUUUGUCGCGUCGGGAGUGAAAAUCCAGGGCUUAACUCUGGACUGGCUUCCGAUACGGGCAGACUAGAGGUAUGCAGGGGAGAACGGAAUUCCUGGUGUAGCGGUGAAAUGCGCAGAUAUCAGGAGGAACACCGGUGGCGAAGGCGGUUCCCUGGGCAUUACCUGACGCUGAGGAGCGAAAGUGUGGGGAGCGAACAGG